rnacentral:rRNA from 1 species
UACAGAGGGUGCGAGCGUUAAUCGGAAUUACUGGGCGUAAAGCGUGCGUAGACGGUUAUGUAAGUCGGAUGUGAAAGCCCCGGGCUUAACCUGGGAAUUGCAUUCGAGACUGCAUAGCUAGGAUGCGGAAGAGAGAAGUGGAAUUUCCGGUGUAGCGGUGAAAUGCGUAGAUAUCGGAAGGAACACCAGUGGCGAAAGCGACUUCCUGGUCCAGCAUCGACGUUCAGGCACGAAAGCGUGGGGAGCAAACAGG